rnacentral:rRNA from 1 species
UACGUAGGGGGCGAGCGUUGUCCGGAUUCAUUGGGCGUAAAGAGCUCGUAGGCGGUUUGGCAAGUCGGAUGUGAAAUCUCCAGGCUCAACCUGGAGCGGCCAUUCGAUACUGCUAUGACUAGAGUCCAGUAGGGGAGUGUGGAAUUCCCGGUGUAGCGGUGAAAUGCGCAGAUAUCGGGAGGAACACCGGCAGCGAAGGCGGCACUCUGGGCUGGUACUGACGCUGAGGAGCGAAAGCGUGGGGAGCAAACAGG